rnacentral:rRNA from 1 species
AUUGAACGCUGGCGGCAUGCCUUACACAUGCAAGUCGAACGGUAACAGGUUAAGCUGACGAGUGGCGAACGGGUGAGUAAUACAUCGGAACGUGCCCAGUAGUGGGGGAUAGCCCGGCGAAAGCCGGAUUAAUACCGCAUACGACCUAAGGGUGAAAGGGGGGGGAUCGCAAGACCUCUCGCUAUUGGAGCGGCCGAUGUCAGAUUAGCUAGUUGGUGGGGUAAAAGCUCACCAAGGCGACGAUCUGUAGCUGGUCUGAGAGGACGACCAGCCACACUGGGACUGAGACACGGCCCAGACUCCUACGGGAGGCAGCAGUGGGGAAUUUUGGACAAUGGGCGCAAGCCUGAUCCAGCCAUGCCGCGUGCGGGAAGAAGGCCUUCGGGUUGUAAACCGCUUUUGUCAGGGAAGAAAUCCUUUGGGUUAAUACCUCGGGGGGAUGACGGUACCUGAAGAAUAAGCACCGGCUAACUACGUG